UACAGAGGGUGCAAGCGUUAAUCGGAAUUACUGGGCGUAAAGCGUGCGUAGACGGCUAUCUAAGUCGGGUGUGAAAGCCCCGGGCUCAACCUGGGAAUUGCAUUCGAGACUGAAUAGCUAGGGUGCGGUAGAGGGAAGCGGAAUUUCCGGUGUAGCGGUGAAAUGCGUAGAUAUCGGAAGAACAUCAGUGGCGAAAGCGGCUUCCUGGACCAGCACCGACGUCAGGCACGAAAGCGUGGGGAGCAAACAGG
rnacentral:rRNA from 1 species